UGUUUCUGACAUUCGCCUGGAUGAAAAUGAAAGGAAGCAAAUAAUCGCCGUACCAAUCCUUAGGCGUGGAAAAUUGCGGCUCUGUUUCAAAUGGUCGAUAAUACUCCUCAUCCUGUAAUGUAUCCAGUUAUUAGGUCUAAUAACUAAGCCUGAUAGUUUUGAGGCACUAGAGUUAUAAGUAUAACUAUGUGGUGUAUUAACAUAUUGAAGAAGAUCUCCACAAGGAUUAAAGUUCCAAGUUCCACUGGGAGAAAAAAAAAAGAGGCAAAACAAUCAAUCU